CGCCAUAACCAUGAACGACGUGAAUUAUCGUUUACAGCACACAUUUAAAAGUCUACCUUUUGAAGAAAAACUUGAGAUAAAGCACCUUGCUGCUCACCAGCCGCGGUAUGAUGUUAUAAACCAAACCACCUGUAAAAAUAAUCGCAUUUUACCGUGGAAACAUGGCUAACUUGUGAGAAGACUUAGCUUCCCGUGUGCUAUUCGGAGGGGAUUGUAACGCUAACUGGGCAAGAACAGGCUUUCAGGAUCUCACGCACCUUUCUGCGGUGAUUAAGGUUAGCUAACAUGAAAACAGCAGGAUAACGGGGAAAAUUGACUGCUUUGGCUCCCAGUAGUAAAGUUUUUCAUCAACAGUGCUAACGCUAGCAAUUGCUGUCCACUUGACGUCUUUUGGGGAAAAUAUGGAUACUGCGACACGAGGAGAGAAGAGAAGACAGGAGUAGUAAGACGUGUCGUCGAAGGACUUGACAAGCGAAUUGCAGCCAUGGUCUAGCUACAUCUUUACAGACUGGUAAAGCUAAGGACCCAGAAGGAGAGCUACAACACUUGGAUGAACAGUUGGAAAGUCCUUCAGCUGGAGGACACGCUGAAGAUUUAAAGCCUGGAAAGUGGAAAGCAUCCUUUGUGCUUCAGUGUCAUCCAGCGAGAUACUGAGUCAUGAAACCCUUUCUAACUCAUCAUCCUGUUUAUUUAUUAUUACAUAAGUAUAUGUACAUACGUUAAAUAUUCACCUGUGAGCCUCUUAGCAUAUCAAGAGACCCUCGGUUGGGUCGUGACCUAGUCUUGCAUUGCCAGACAAUCACAAUCGUCUUGAGCGGCACUGAGUUCCAAACGCAGCGCCGGUGCCUCUGCAAAAUGGUCUUGGGAGGGAACUUAUUUUGGUGGAACAUUUGCACCCCGUA